GGAGGGGGCUAGCGUUGUUCGGAAUUACUGGGCGUAAAGCGCGCGUAGGCGGGCUGGUUAGGUUGGGGGUGAAAUCCCGAGGGCUCAACCUCGGGAACUGCCCUCAAUACUGCCAGUCUUGAGUUCGAGAGAGGUGAGUGGAAUUCCUAGUGUAGAGGUGAAAUUCGUAGAUAUUAGGAAGAACACCAGUGGCGAAGGCGGCUCACUGGCUCGAUACUGACGCUGAGGCGCGAAAGCGUGGGGAGCAAACAGGAUUAGAUACCCUGGUAGUCCACGCCGUAAACGAUGGGUGCUAGUUGUCAGGCAGCUUGCUGUUUGGUGACGCAGCUAACGCGUUAAGCACCCCGCCUGGGGACUACGGUCGCAAGACUA
rnacentral:rRNA from 1 species